CAGCCGCCACGGGAAUACGGAGGGGGCUAGCGUUGUUCGGAACUACUGGGCGUAAAGCGCACGUAGGCGGCUUGGUAAGUUAGAGGUGAAAGCCUGGAGCUCAACUCCAGAAUUGCCUUUAAGACUGCCGAGCUAGCAGGUGAGAGAGGUAAGUGGAAUUCCGAGUGUAGAGGUGAAAUUCGUAGAUAUUCGGAAGAACACCAGUGGCGAAGGCGGCCAUCUGGGACAACACUGACGCUGAGGCACGAAAGCGUGGGGAGCAAACAGGAUUAGAUACCCCCGUAGUCCCUGUCUCUUAUAC
rnacentral:rRNA from 1 species